rnacentral:lncRNA from 1 species
CUUGACUGUCUUCUUCCUUCAAAUUCUUCCCCAGCAUGUAGGGGGAAAUAAAAACUCUGCCAUGUGGAAUACAGGAGCGCAAGAGAAAAAAAAGUCAUGAGACUGAAGGGAUGACAUUUCCCACAAACUGAGAGUAAAACACUACAUGAAUAAAGCUGCUAGCUGAGGCUCCAAGCCCUUAUUUAGUAAGAUGCUCUAACCCCCCAAUAUGGUUGUUCUAAAGUUUAAAUCCUAUUUCCAUGCUCAUAUUCCCAAUUAGUCAUGUGUAGUGCUUUGCUGAAUUGGGGCCAGUAAGAAGAUAUUGGUGAGUAACCCCAAUACAUUUAAUCAGUAACAGUGAUCUGAACUACAUGCCUUUAUUUGGUUUAAACUGUUAUCCAAAAACUCCACAUUGUUCUGCUUCUGAUGCAUCUCCUACUUGCUUCCUUUAGAUGUUUAUUCCUUUGUGCACUUUAAAGAGUUAAGAUGGAAAUAAUGAAUUUACAUACUAUUUUAAAGUGAAGUGAGUGGGGUUUUUGUGGAUUGGUUUUGGUUUUGUUUUGACUUUUGGUGUUGUUUUGUUUUGUUGUUUUGUUUUGUUUUAAGCUUAUGGAGCUUUUGCAGCUUUAUGUUUUUUGGGUUUUGGGCUUUUGUUUUUUUGGGGGUUUUUUGAGGGUUUUUUUUGGGUUUUGUUUGGUUUUUGGGUUUGGGUUUUUAUUGGGUUUUUUUGGGUUUUUUUGGUGUUUUUUUUUGUUUUGUUUUGUUUUUGUUUUUGUUUUACUUUAUUGACUAAUCUCUUUUACAGAAACUUUUAAAAAAAUGUGAGAAGGGAAAAAGACAUUCACGUUUGAUUUGGGACUAAGCCAGUGUAAACGUGACUGAUGAUGGGAACGCUGAUGAUACGUUGGACUAAUUGUGGAAUUCAGCAUUUGCACAUAGAGCACUACUGUGGUGUCUCAGGAAUGCCUCCUUCAGUGAGAACAGAGAUUGUUGUUCUUUGCCUGGAAUAUAAUUUACUGAAAAAAUCCCAACUGUUUGGCUUCAUCUGGAAUCACUUCAGAGCUGUGAAGAAAGUGUAACAACACACAGAAAGUAAAACUGCUGUCAGUGCCAGUCUGUGAAGAAGUGUUUGCUGAAAAAUUAUUCUAUCUCAAGGUCACUGGCACUUAAAGAGUAUCAGGAAGUUCCAUGACUUUGAAAAAUAAAUAAUUUUUGUCUGGAGUUCUUGGCUGGUGU